ACUACGGGAGGCAGCAGUGAGGAAUAUUGGUCAAUGGCCGGAAGGCUGAACCAGCCAAGCCGCGUGAAGGACGAAGGUGCCAAGCAUUGUACACUUCUUUUGUCACGGGACAAAAUCAGGCUCGAGAGCCUGACCGAGGGUACUUGAAGAAACAGCAUCGGCUAACUCCGUGCCAGCAGCCGCGGUAAUACGGGGGAUGCGCUCGUUAUCCGGAUUUAUUGGGUUUAAAGGGUGCGUAGGCGGGCUGUUAAGUCAGCGGUAAAAGCCCGGGGCUCAACCCCGGCGAGCCGUUGAAACUGGCUGUCUUGAGAUGUCGAGAGGUAUGCGGAAUGCGCAGUGUAGCGGUGAAAUGCUUAGAUAUCACGCAGAACGCCGAUUGCGAAGGCAGCAUACCGGCGCCCGACUGACGCUGAGGCACGAAAGCGUGGGGAUCGAACAGGAUUAGAUACCCCAGUAGUC
rnacentral:rRNA from 1 species